GAUAGAGGAGUGCUCGAAAGAGAACCGUAACACAGGUGCUGCAUGGCUGUCGUCAGCUCGUGUCGUGAGAUGUUGGGUUAAGUCCCGCAACGAGCGCAACCCUUGUCAUUAGUUGCUACAUUCAGUUGGGCACUCUAAUGAGACUGCCGGUGACAAACCGGAGGAAGUGGGGAUGACGUCAAGUCCUCAUGGCCCUUAUAGGUGGGGCUACACACGUCAUACAAUGGAUGGUACAAAGGGUCGCCAACCCGCGAGGGGGAGCCAAUCCCAUAAAGCCAUUCGUAGUCCGGAUCGCAGUCUGCAACUCGACUGCGUGAAGUCGGAAUCGCUAGUAAUCGUGGAUCAGAAUGUCACGGUGAAUACGUUCCCGGGUCUU
rnacentral:rRNA from 1 species